UACGUAGGGUCCGAGCGUUGUCCGGAAUUAUUGGGCGUAAAGGGCGCGUAGGCGGCCUGCUAAGUCGGAUGUGAAAUCCCUCGGCUCAACCGAGGAACUGCAUCCGAUACUGGCGGGCUUGAGUCCGGGAGAGGGAUGUGGAAUUCCAGGUGUAGCGGUGAAAUGCGUAGAUAUCUGGAGGAACACCGGUGGCGAAGGCGGCAUCCUGGACCGGUAUUGACGCUGAGGCGCGAAAGCGAGGGGAGCAAACGGG
rnacentral:rRNA from 1 species